rnacentral:rRNA from 1 species
UGGGGAAUUUUGCGCAAUGGGCGAAAGCCUGACGCAGCAACGCCGCGUGGAGGAUGAAGGUGCUCUGCAUUGUAAACUCCUGUCGGCCGGGAAGAAUCGGCGGGGUGCUAAUCAGCCCCGUUUUGACUGUACCGGCAAAGGAAGCCCCGGCUAACUCCGUGCCAGCAGCCGCGGUAAUACGGAGGGGGCAAGCGUUACUCGGAAUUAUUGGGCGUAAAGGGCGCGUAGGCGGUCUCGUGCGUCGAGGGUGAAAUCCCCGGGCUUAACCCGGGAACUGCCUUCGAUACGGCGAGACUUGAGUCCGGGAGAGGGGAGCAGAAUUCCCAGUGUAGCGGUGAAAUGCGUAGAUAUUGGGAGGAAUACCAGUGGCGAAGGCGGCUCCCUGGACCGGUACUGACGCUGAGGCGCGAAAGCGUGGGUAGCAAACAGG